rnacentral:rRNA from 1 species
GACGAACGCUGGCGGCGUGCCUAAUACAUGCAAGUCGAACGCAUUUUCUUUCACCGUAGCUUGCUACACCGAAAGAAAAUGAGUGGCGAACGGGUGAGUAACACGUGGGUAACCUGCCCAUCAGCGGGGGAUAACACUUGGAAACAGGUGCUAAUACCGCAUAAUUCCAUUUACUGCAUGGUAGAUGGAUGAAAGGCGCUUUUGCGUCACUGAUGGAUGGACCCGCGGUGCAUUAGCUAGUUGAUGGGGUAACGGCCUACCAAGGCUGCGAUGCAUAGCCGACCUGAGAGGGUGAUCGGCCACACUGGGACUGAGACACGGCCCAGACUCCUACGGGAGGCAGCAGUAGGGAAUCUUCGGCAAUGGACGCAAGUCUGACCGAGCAACGCCGCGUGAGUGAAGAAGGUUUUCGGAUCGUAAAACUCUGUUGUUAGAAAAGAACAAGGAUGAGAGUGGAAAGUUCAUCCCUUGACGGUAUCUAACCAGAAAGCCACGGCUAACUACGUG